rnacentral:rRNA from 1 species
GAUGAACGCUGGCGGCGUGCCUAAUACAUGCAAGUCGAGCGAACAGAUAAGGAGCUUGCUCCUUUGACGUUAGCGGCGGACGGGUGAGUAACACGUGGGUAACCUACCUAUAAGACUGGGAUAACUUCGGGAAACCGGAGCUAAUACCGGAUAAUAUUUCGAACCGCAUGGUUCGAUAGUGAAAGAUGGUUUUGCUAUCACUUAUAGAUGGACCCGCGCCGUAUUAGCUAGUUGGUAAGGUAACGGCUUACCAAGGCGACGAUACGUAGCCGACCUGAGAGGGUGAUCGACCACACUGGAACUGAGACACGGUCCAGACUCCUACGGGAGGCAGCAGUAGGGAAUCUUCCGCAAUGGGCGAAAGCCUGACGGAGCAACGCCGCGUGAGUGAUGAAGGUCUUCGGAUCGUAAAACUCUGUUAUUAGGGAAGAACAUACGUGUAAGUAACUGUGCACGUCUUGACGGUACCUAAUCAGAAAGCCACGGCUAACUACGUG